GAUGAACGCUGGCGGCGUGCCUAAUACAUGCAAGUCGAGCGAACAGACGAGGAGUUUGCUCCUCUGACGUUAGCGGCGGACGGGUGAGUCACACGUGGAUACCCUACCUAUAAGACUGGGAUAACUUCGGGAAACCGGAGCUAAUACCGUAGAAUCUAUUGCACCGCAUGGUUCAAUAGUGAAAGACGGUUUUGCCGUCGGUUGUAGAUGGUUGCGCGCCGCAUCAGCUUGUUGGUAAGGUAACGGCUUACCAAGGCAUCGACGGGUAGCCGGCCUGAGAGGGUGACCGGCCACAUUGGGACUGAGAUACGGCCCAGACUCCUACGGGAGGCAGCAGUGGGGAAUAUUGCACAAUGGGCGGAAGCCUGAUGCAGAAACGCCGCGUGCGGGAUGACGGCCUUCGGGUUGUAAACCGCUUUCGCCUGUGACGAAGCGUGAGUGACGGUAAUGGGUAAAGAAGCACCGGCUAACUACGUG
rnacentral:rRNA from 1 species